rnacentral:rRNA from 1 species
UACGAAGGGGGCUAGCGUUGCUCGGAAUCACUGGGCGUAAAGCGCACGUAGGCGGAUUGUUAAGUCAGGGGUGAAAUCCUGGAGCUCAACUCCAGAACUGCCCUUGAUACUGGCGGUCUCGAGUCCGGGAGAGGUGAGUGGAACUGCGAGUGUAGAGGUGAAAUUCGUAGAUAUUCGCAAGAACACCAGUGGCGAAGGCGGCUCACUGGCCCGAUACUGACGCUGAGGCACGAAAGCGUGGGGAGCAAACAGG